rnacentral:rRNA from 1 species
UUUUAUUUGAGAGUUUGAUCCUGGCUCAGGAUGAACGCUGGCGGCGUGCCUAACACAUGCAAGUUGAGCGAUUUACUUCGUAAAGAGCGGCGGACGGGUGAGUAACGCGUGGGUAACCUACCCUGUACACACGGAUAACAUACCGAAAGGUAUGCUAAUACGGGAUAAUAUAUUUGAGAGGCAUCUCUUAAAUAUCAAAGGUGAGCCAGUACAGGAUGGACCCGCGUCUGAUUAGCUAGUUGGUAAGGUAACGGCUUACCAAGGCGACGAUCAGUAGCCGACCUGAGAGGGUGAUCGGCCACAUUGGAACUGAGACACGGUCCAAACUCCUACGGGAGGCAGCAGUGGGGAAUAUUGCACAAUGGGCGAAAGCCUGAUGCAGCAACGCCGCGUGAGUGAUGAAGGCCUUCGGGUCGUAAAACUCUGUCCUCAAGGAAGAUAAUGAC